UUCUACAGAUCCUGAACAAGCCCCCAAAA
rnacentral:piRNA from 1 species